AUUUAUGAAUAGUACUUAAAGAAAUGAGUUCCAGAGGAAAAGAAAGAUGAGACAUCAAAGUUGCCAGGUUGGAGGAUCUUCAUGAAAUCCCUGUUAAGAAAUAUUUCUACUUCAGAUACAUCAGUUGAAAGUCCAUCAAAAGAAAAACUGAGGAAUGUUAGAGAUUUAAUAGGAACAUGGGCAGAUCCUUUUGCUUAGUCUUUUCUUCUGUUAAGCUUUAUAUUUUGAAAUUGACUGAGAAUGCCUAAGUGGCUAUAAUUACUUUUUAAAUAAAGUUUUUUAAAAAUUUAGGGAAUUAAUAAUUUAUUUGAAUAAUAUUUGCUUUUUAUUGUUCUAUGCAGUGUUUGCAUAUUGCGGAAAGGAAAAAAAAAAAAAAAAAAAAAAGCUUGAAUUAUUGGGUUAAUUUUUGUUUUUAUAAAAUACUUAAAACUGGACAUAUUUUAAAUUGAAUUAUCACAUGGUUUUAAUUCCUCAUAACAUUAUGUAAAAAGUUUUAAUUAUUAUACAUUUCAUUGCUCAUUUUGGAAUAUCUUUUUCUUAUGUUUUAUUUCUUUAUCGGAUUCCUUUAGAAGUAGUUAAAUUUAAUUAAGCAGAAUAUAGAAAUUUGCAUUUAAAUAUGAUUUUUCAAAUCAUGUACAAUUUUUAUGCUACUUUUCUUGAAAUACAGAAAUGCUUCUGCCAAAGUAAGACUAAGUAAUAAAUUUAAAUACACUUAUGUCCAAAAUUAUUUUUAUAUUUUUGGAAUCACAUAUUUCUCAGAAACGGUGUACUAUAGUUUUAUGAAUUUGGGUAGAGUGAUACAUUACAUGUGCAUAUACAAAGGAAAACACUUGAGAGCAUUGCAUAUUAUAAAAAAACUGUAGAUGAAACAAUAGAAAUGGUAACAAUAUGUUGUAAGGAGAGUUCAGAAAAAAAAAAAAAAAAAAAAAAAAAAAAAA